GAUGAAGAACGUAGCGAAAUGCGAUACUUGGUGUGAAUUGCAGAAUCCCGUGAACCAUCGAGUCUUUGAACGUAAGUUGCGCCCGAAGCCACUAGGCCGAGGGCACGCCUGCCUGGGCGUCACACGCCGUUGCCCCCCCAUCUACUCCUUCGGGAUUGCGGGGGGGCGGAUGAUGGCCUCCUGUGCGCCUAGCCGCGCGGUUGGCAUAAAUACCAAGUCCUCGGCGACGCACGCCACGACAAUCGGUGGUUGCGAAACCUCGGUUGCCCGUCGUGUGCGUUCGUCGCGCAUCGAGGGCUCGAAAAAAUGCUCGGCUCCGGCUGGGCUUUCAACGCGACCCCAGGUCAGGCGGGGUUACCCGCUGAAUUUAAGCAUAUCAAUAAGCGGAGGA
rnacentral:misc_RNA from 1 species